CUUAAAUUAUCACCGUUUUUUCCGUUUUCUUUUGGGUUAUUUUGAUUGUUAGCAAUUGCCUUUAGUUCCAGAAGAAGUGGAAAGGCGACAUAGAAGCGAUUUAACUAGCUAGUCGGCAAGUGUUUCUUCGGUUCGGAAUGAUCUCAUGCUUUAAAAUCUAAAGCAUCACUUUCUUUGUUUUUUUAUUGUUAUCUUUGAAUUUUGUUCAAAAAAAGAGGGAAAAGGAGAAAUGAAGUGCUUGAGCUUUUCCAACAUGUUUUCUUUGGUUUCCAAUGGUUCGAUUUUUUUCUCAAAGUUAGGAUUUUUGUGGAGGAAAUAAGGAAUCACAUUGAUGUUUUGAUAUCUGAGGAGUGUAUUAUGUCAAGAUGCAAAAGAGCACCGAACUGAUUGAAGCAGAGAAUUCCUAUGUUGUGACAGUUGCUAGGGUGAACAAAUAGGGAGAAGUAGAAGUGAUGCUUAUUGUGGAUGAUGGAUAGAAAGUAUGGGAGAAGUUUGACACCAAAGACAUUCACUUUGUAGAUAGUGUGGAGAAGACUCACGGAAGAAUUUGUAGUUAAAUAUCACUAGUGUUGCCUGUUUUAGGUCUUAACAGAUCAUAAUGAUAAGAUCUGCUUGCUAUCUUUCUAUUUUUGUACUUGUUUACAGUGCUCUUGUCGAGCCAUGAUUUGGUGAAAUAACAAAAAGAGAAUGAAAUGAUGGAUAUCAUAUACUUAUUUGGUAAAAAAUUGUUUCUAAUGGUGUUAUCAACUUGCUUGCGAUGGCCUGUAAAGGAAUUCACAUCAAAUCACCCAUUCGCUAAAUCCAUUUCAUGUGCACAUGUGUGUGCCCCUAUAUAUGUUCGUGAAAUUUUGAAAGCAAAGUACGAGGCUUAUCUGAGGAUUAUUAAUCAAUUAUGGAUGGCUAAUGUGCUGAUAUCUCUUAGAAGGCCUAUAAUAUGAGCGGUAUGCUUCUCAUUUCUUAUCUUAACUUAGCUUCUAAGUGGAUACACCAUACAUCUUUUUAGUAUCUUACAGAUGUUCAAUUUAAAUAUUUAUAUUAUUUAUUGUUUAUCAUGGUGGUGUAGAUACCUAUUUGCUAGAUCUUAUGCACAAGGCUUAUUCAAAGGAAGGUACAAUGGGAGUUGAUACAUGCACCCAUAUCGCUUGGUAAUACACUUUUGUUCUUUCUUUGUGGAAAGAGGAGAUAGUACAUUUAUUAAAGAUUGGAAUCAGUUAUAAUGACACUCAUGGAUGGGCAAACAAAUUGGCCUCCCCUCCUGUUUCAUGUAAUCCAUGGAUGACAUAUUGAUGAUGAAGGCAAUCUGAGAAAUUGUUUCAAUGCUUUUCCUUCCGUUGGCUUCUUUUUAACCAUUUCUGGGAGCGGUGCUUGGGGAAUGGAGCUUUCUCAGUAAGAAAAUCCACUUAGUGUCCUUAUUUGCUCUUUUUCUUCACUGGUCUAGUGCUGCCUCUUCUCCAUCUCUUGGAGCAUCAAAUGUAUAUAGCUGUGAAAUAUCACUCCAGUGAUUGGAUAAGCCUGUUACCAAAGAUUGAGUCACAAUGUAGGUUUGUAGAUGAACCUGAGAUUUUCCAUUCUAUAGGCACAUAAUGUAGGUGAUAAAGACCUCAAUGUCCAGAAAAUUGGAUUUUGUAUAGUGAUAAAACCAAGCAUAUGUUAGACUUGCCUAUCUUACAUAUCAUAAAGUAUACUUUUUGUACAUAUUGCGUCACAAAUAAGUACAAUAGGAAAAAGGUUGGAGACUAGUACAAUAUUCUAUGGUGUUCUAGAGGUAUUGAUGUGCCUUUAAUGAGCUCUAAUAACAAGCUUUGGAAUGGUAAAGGUCUUUUGACUUGGAGUAGGAGCCUUGUGAAAAUAUUAUAUGAUGUUGUUUUAAAUGUUCAAGUCAUUGUGGUGGUGAUUUAUAGGUAUUUGUGGGACUCAUGGGAGUCUAUGGAGAGGUAAGAUCCCUGUGUAUGGAGUCACCACAAUAUCUCAUACUUAGUCUAGCUCUCCCUUCUUGCAUUCAAGUGCUGUGAUCCAGCAAAUCUUCCUUUUAAUAAGGAAUAUAUAUGGCCUUCUUUCUGUACAUUCCAGGGAAAUGCUAUGGUGCUCUAAAAUAUUCUUUUAAAGAAGCAAUAGGGAGAUCCAUUAGACAAGGGUAGUUAGAAAAUUUUCAUCCCAGUGGUUAAACAAACCGACUAACCCAUGUUAUUAUUUUUUGGUAAAAGGGCUGACUUGCUAUAUUUAUCAUCUCCAACUCCUGAACCCAUAUUCCCAACCAUCUAGUGUCGCUCCCUUCCCCUCACUGAUAGCCUCGCCGUGCCGUCCACCACCAUGCGUUGGCUGCCUUCUUGCGAUGGCCGCCUUCCUGCCCCAGCAUCCUCCCUAUGCUGGCUGCCUCCCAGAUCUGCCCUGACAUUGAAGAUCACUUGUGCCGCCUAUCUCCAUAUGUCACCUGCUCCCUAUGCCAGUGACCUCCUUGAUCUACUCGUACGUUAAACAAGACAUUCACACCACCACCUCCUUGUACCGUCCACCUUUUCAUGGUGGCUGCCUCCCUAUGCCACAAACAUGAACCCAAGCACAACCACCACCAUCCCGUUGGCCUCAACACCCUCAUGGCUCGACGGGGUCGGCCACACAUUCGCCACCGCCAACUCCGCCCUGCCUUCAAAGAUGUUGCGCCUGGGAACAACGACACUGGUUGUAGCAACGCUUCCGCUGGUGACGAGCUCUUCAGGUAGAAGAACUCGAAGGCCGGGAGGGGGACGAUAGGAUGUUCUCGAAGACCAAACUUUGUGGGGCACGAGGCUAUGGCAUAGGAUGUAGUUGGCCUUAUGCCAAGGAAAAUAAGAGCAAAGAAGAGAAGACGAUAAAGGUGGCCAUCAAUAUCUUUUUGUCCCGAAGGUUUUAAGGAUGACUGGUGAGGAUCUUGGGGAAAGUGAAGGCGUUGAUAUAUGAGAUGGCAAGAGGGAAAGGCUGGUUGCUUUGUCUAGUGUGGAUUUUUUUGAUGGCAUGGGGAACGGAGAGCAGAAUGAUGAUGGGUGUGUGCUCCCUUUUUGGUUUUCCAAAUGCUCUUAAAGUUCACAAUUUGUACCACACCAACCAUUAUCAUCCGCUAUAGAAUAGCCAUGAACUUUGGAAUAAUUACAUGCACCAUCCACGAUCGUAACUGGCUAUAGGCAACUGCAAGUAGAGGAUCUUGAAUGUUCUUUUUGAAUCAGAUAGUCAGUUUUU